rnacentral:rRNA from 1 species
GACGAACCGUGCGAACGUUGUUCGGAAUCACUGGGCUUAAAGGGCGCGUAGGCGGGCUGCCGAGUCCGCGGGUGAAAUCCUCCGGCUCAACCGGAGGACGGCCUCGGAUACUGGCGGCCUGGAGGGGGGUAGGGGCGUCUGGAACUGUGGGUGGAGCGGUGAAAUGCGUUGAUAUCCACAGGAACUCCGGUGGCGAAGGCGAGGCGCUGGACCCCAUCUGACGCUGAGGCGCGAAAGCCAGGGGAGCGAACGGGAUUAGAAACCCCCGUAGUCC